GACGAACGCUGGCGGCGUGCUUAACACAUGCAAGUCGAACGAAGUGGCGAACGGGUGAGUAACGCGUAAUCAACCUGCACUUCAGAGGGGGACAACAGUUGGAAACGACUGCUAAUAACGAAUACUGAAGGCGGGGAGUGCGUCGGAUUAGCAAGUUGGAGGGGUAACGGCCCACCAAGGCGAUGAUCAGUAGCCGGUCUGGGAGGAUGAACGGCCACAUUGGGACUGAGACACGGCCCAGACUGCUACGGGAGGCAGCAGUGGGGAAUCUUCCGCAAUGGACGAAAGUCUGACGGAGCAACGCCGCGUGAGUGAUGACGGCCUUCGGGUUGUAAAGCUCUGUUAAUCGGGACGCGGUACCGGAAUAGAAAGCCACGGCUAACUACGUGCCAGCAGCCGCGGUAAUUC
rnacentral:rRNA from 1 species